GUGCUUAACACAUGCAAGUCGAACGGAAAGGCCCUUCGGGGUACUCGAGUGGCGAACGGGUGAGUAACACGUGGGUGAUCUGCCCUGCACUUUGGGAUAAGCCUGGGAAACUGGGUCUAAUACCGAAUAGGAUCAUGGCCUGCAUGGGUUGUGGUGGAAAGCUUUUGCGGUGUGGGAUGGGCCCGCGGCCUAUCAGCUUGUUGGUGGGGUAAUGGCCUACCAAGGCGACGACGGGUAGCCGGCCUGAGAGGGUGACCGGCCACACUGGGACUGAGAUACGGCCCAGACUCCUACGGGAGGCAGCAGUGGGGAAUAUUGCACAAUGGGCGCAAGCCUGAUGCAGCGACGCCGCGUGAGGGAUGACGGCCUUCGGGUUGUAAACCUCUUUCAGUAGGGACGAAGCGCAAGUGACGGUACCUAUAGAAGAAGGACCGGCCAACUACGUGCCAGCAGCCGCGGUAAUACGUAGGGUCCGAGCGUUGUCCGGAAUUACUGGGCGUAAAGAGCUCGUAGGUGGUUUGUCGCGUUGUUCGUGAAAUC
rnacentral:rRNA from 1 species